AGUCUUUUCACAUGACAGUUGAUGACAGUAGGUUAUUUGUUAUUAAAUCAAAAAUGAGUAAAAAAUCGAACAAAUAUAUUUGUAUUGUAGCUUUUUUAUUAUUUAUAUCAAGUUAUAUCAUUUCCAGUUUUAUAUUUGCUUAUUUCAGGAACGUUGUUUUUGUUGAAUGAAAUCUUAUGUAAUUUUUAUUGUUUUAAUAAAGGAAAACAGUAUUUAUAUAUACCGAUGAAAACAAUAGUUAUAUAUACCAAUAUUCAGAGUCUCAAGCCUGCUUAACAAUAAUAUCUGUGACGUAGAUACCAAGGAAAUAUGCGGAGUAAUUAAAAAGGAAUGCAAUACCCUUUCAAAUGGCUGUUCGAUGGAAAUACUUCUACGUAAUGUUUAUUUAUGACGAUGUCAGUAUUAAACGAUAAAUUCGAACAUUGUUGAACAUUGUUUUAAUACAUUGUUGUCUAAUUUUCAA